UGUUCUGUUUUCUAGGGUUCCGCAGCUGCUACAGGCUGGUCUGGUCCGAGGGAAAACGCAUGUACUACGAUGUACAUGUCUACACGGAGGGAUAAAAGCCCGGGAGGU
rnacentral:sRNA from 2 species